AGCUGGCUUUCCCUUCACUUGCAGGCAGACAAACGUCACAAUGUUUGUAGAUUUCUCAUGGAUCUCUGCAUAGACCCGUGGCAAUCACUGACUUAAAACACUUAAGAAAGUUCAAGGCUGUGACAAUAAUAACUCACUCGUCACAGGGCAAGCUGGAUCUCCACAGCAGCUGAUGAUGGCUCUUUUAGCGAAAGGAGUCAAGGUGCUGUCUGUCCAGCAGAGGGCACAGGCCCACCUCAUCCCCAAACCAAAGGACUGGUUCCGGUGUUGGCAAGGGGAGGGGUCUCCUCCUCCUGUGCCUGGUCCCUCUGCUGACCUGUGCCUGAUCUCCUCCAGGAUGCAGGAGAUCACCUCAGAUGUCGUCUGGAUUGAAAUGUUAAAAGUUAAGCAUUCUAACCCAAUGAAGAAGACAAUAUUUGA